CAGCCGCCGCGGUAAUACGAAGGGGGCUAGCGUUGUUCGGAUUUACUGGGCGUAAAGGGCGCGUAGGCGGAUUUGUAAGUCAGGGGUGAAAUCCCGAGGCUCAACCUCGGAACUGCCUUUGAUACUGUGGAUCUUGAGUCCGGGAGAGGUGAGUGGAACUGCGAGUGUAGAGGUGAAAUUCGUAGAUAUUCGCAAGAACACCAGUGGCGAAGGCGGCUCACUGGCCCGGAACUGACGCUGAGGCGCGAAAGCGUGGGGAGCAAACAGGAUUAGAUACCCCCGUAGUCCCUGUCUCUUAUAC
rnacentral:rRNA from 1 species